AUUGAAACAACGGUUCCCGUAAGAUCACCGAAGUUAAGCAACGCUGAGCUUGGUCUGUACCUAUAUAGGUGACCUCUUGAGAAUACCAGGUGU